CACGCCGUAAACGGUGGGUACUAGGUGUGGGUUUCCUUCCUUGGGAUCCGUGCCGUAGCUAACGCAUUAAGUACCCCGCCUGGGGNUGCAACGCGAAGAACCUUACCUGGGUUUGACAUGCACAGGACGUACCUAGAGAUAGGUAUUCCCUUGUGGCCUGUGUGCAGGUGG
rnacentral:rRNA from 1 species